ACGAACGCUGGCGGCGUGCCUAAUACAUGCAAGUCGAACGCACCGCGACUAAGUGCUUGCACUAAGUCAAGGCGAGUGGCGAACGGGUGAGUAACACGUGGGUAACCUACCUCAUAGUGGGGGAUAACAGUCGGAAACGACUGCUAAUACCGCAUAGGACAUAGGAUCACAUGAUCCAGUGAGGAAAGGUGGCGCAAGCUAUCGCUAAGAGAUGGAACCGCGGUGCAUUAGCUAGUUGGUAGGGUAAAGGCCUACCAAGGCGAUGAUGCAUAGCCGACCUGAGAGGGUGAUCGGCCACAUUGGGACUGAGACACGACCCAAACUCCUACGGGAGGCAGCAGUAGGGAAUCUUCCGCAAUGGACGCAAGUCUGACGGAGCAACGCCGCGUGAGUGAAGAAGGUCUUCGGAUCGUAAAGCUCUGUUGUUAGAGAAGAACAGCGCAUAGAGUAACUGCUAUGCGUGUGACGGUAUCUAACCAGAAAGCCACGGCUAACUACGUG
rnacentral:rRNA from 1 species